GACGAACGCUGGCGGCGUGCUUAACACAUGCAAGUCGAACGGAAAGGCCCUGCUUUUGUGGGGUGCUCGAGUGGCGAACGGGUGAGUAACACGUGAGUAACCUGCCCUUGACUUUGGGAUAACUUCAGGAAACUGGGGCUAAUACCGGAUAGGAGCUCCUGCUGCAUGGUGGGGGUUGGAAAGUUUCGGCGGUUGGGUUUGGACUCGCGGCUUAUCAGCUUGUUGGUGGGGUAGUGGCUUACCAAGGCUUUGACGGGUAGCCGGCCGGAGAGGGUGACCGGCCACAUUGGGACUGAGAUACGGCCCAGACUGCUACGGGAGGCAGCAGUGGGGAAUAUUGCACAAUGGGCGGAAGCCUGAUGCAGCAACGCCGCGUGCGGGAUGACGGCCUUCGGGUUGUAAACCGCUUUCGCCUGUGACGAAGCGUGAGUGACGGUAAUGGGUAAAGAAGCACCGGCUAACUACGUG
rnacentral:rRNA from 1 species